rnacentral:lncRNA from 1 species
GGCCCGUGUCCGGAUUGACAGCUGCGCUGCCCUCUUGAUGCUCAAAUUUCCUUUGAAGACCACCGAAUGUGCUGCUCUUUCUGUGUAUCUUCGUACCCGCGCUGCCAUUUAGUCUCCUUUGUGAACGUGCACUGCCCUCAAAAUUAGGUGGUAGCAGAGUGUCCAACAAGUAAAUGUUGAAACACCCUUCUUGUGUGUUCUCGUGAUCCUGCGCUGGAAUUACAUAGAAAGAUAUGGCAGCGCUGCCCAAAGAAAUCUCGUAUUUAGUCCACUCUUUCAAUAUUUAUUGUUGGAGUUCAAGAUUCCUGCGCUGUAAGAACUCUUGAGCAAAAAGAUUAGUAAAAUAUGAGAGCCCCUUGAAACAGGGCUAUAAACUCAUUGCAAAGGUAACCCAAAACUUUGAUCGUGUAAAUUU